CUGGCACCUACGGAUUUCUUUCCAUCAGUUUAAAAAAAGAAUUCUAAAAAGAUUAAUAUUAUUUUAUUACAAACAAGCUACAGUACUUUUUUAGCUGUGAUUAUCAUGAAAAUAUGUUAGUGUUUCAGUGUUGAGGUGGCCAUCUUACAGGUACAUCACAAUUUUGAACCCUCAGGGAAAAUGGCUGAUAAAAACAUGGCGGCAAAGAGCAUGUGUGG